GCGGGCGUGGCGAAACUGGUAGACGCGCCAGAUUUAGGUUCUGGUGUCGAAAGACGUGGGGGUUCGAGUCCCUUCGCCCGCA
rnacentral:tRNA from 1 species